rnacentral:rRNA from 1 species
GUGGGGAAUUUUGGACAAUGGGCGAAAGCCUGACGCAGCCAUGCCGCGUGAAUGAUGAAGGUCUUAGGAUUGUAAAAUUCUUUCACCGGGGACGAUAAUGACGGUACCCGGAGAAGAAGCCCCGGCUAACUUCGUGCCAGCAGCCGCGGUAAUACGAAGGGGGCUAGCGUUGCUCGGAAUUACUGGGCGUAAAGGGCGCGUAGGCGGACAGUUUAGUCAGAGGUGAAAGCCCAGGGCUCAACCUUGGAAUUGCCUUUGAUACUGGCUGUCUUGAGUACGGGAGAGGUGAGUGGAACUCCGAGUGUAGAGGUGAAAUUCGUAGAUAUUCGGAAGAACACCAGUGGCGAAGGCGACUCACUGGCCCGUUACUGACGCUGAGGCGCGAAAGCGUGGGGAGCAAACAGGAUUAGAUACCCCGGUAGUCC